rnacentral:rRNA from 1 species
CUUCRGUGGGCGAGCGCUCGUCAAAACCCCCCAUCAAUUCAGUCAAUCAGUGACGUCCGAGAGCAAUAUUAACCAGUUAAAACUUUCAACAACGGAUCUCUUGGUUCUGGCAUCGAUGAAGAACGCAGCGAAAUGCGAUAAGUAAUGUGAAUUGCAGAAUUCAGUGAAUCAUCGAAUCUUUGAACGCACAUUGCGCCCCUUGGUAUUCCGGGGGGCAUGCCUGUUCGAGCGUCAUUACACCCCUCGAGCCCAGCUCGGUAUUGGGGGUCGUCUCCCCGGGGGCGCCCCCGAAAGUUAGCGGCGACGCGGUCGGUCCCCAAGCGCAGUUAAACGCAUUCGUUCCGCUGUGGCGGCCCGGGCGCGCCCGCCGGACAACCCCGUAAUCUUCCACGAUUGACCUCGGAUCAGGUAGGGAUACCCGCUGAACUUAAGCAUAUCAAUAG